GAUGAGGCUGCCAUGCCCCGAGGCAUGCAGCAAACCUGUCUCCUGGGACUCUAGACCGAGCACUCCUUUGGGACUCUGAGCAACGCUGAUGGGAAGUGGGGCAAGUUUUCAUCAACCUCAGGUUCAGAAAGAAGGAAAAGACUUAAUUUUGAAAGGAGGGCUGGUGGUUCAGUAGAAUCUGAUCAGAAGAAAAUAAAAAGAGGCCGGGUGCAGUGGCUCACACCUGUAAUCCUAGCACUUUGGGAGGCUGAGGCGGGUGGAUUGCUUGAGUUUAGGAUUUCAAGACCAGCCUGAGCAACAUGGUGAAACCCGGCCUCUACAAAAAGUACAAAAAAUUAGCCAGGCGUGGUGGUGCAUGCUUGCAUUCCCAGCUACGUGGGAGGCUGACGUGGGAAGAUCGCUUGAGCCCAGAAGGUCAAGGUUGCAGUGAGCUGAAAUCGCACCACUGCACUCCAGCCUGGGUGACAAAGU
rnacentral:sRNA from 1 species